rnacentral:rRNA from 1 species
AUUGAACGCUGGCGGCAGGCUUAACACAUGCAAGUCGAGCGGAGAUGAGGUGCUUGCACCUUAUCUUAGCGGCGGACGGGUGAGUAAUGCUUAGGAAUCUGCCUAUUAGUGGGGGACAACAUUCCGAAAGGAAUGCUAAUACCGCAUACGUCCUACGGGAGAAAGCAGGGGAUCUUCGGACCUUGCGCUAAUAGAUGAUCCUAAGUCGGAUUGGCUAGUUGGUGGGGUAAAGGCCUACCAAGGCGACGAUCUGUAGCGGGUCUGAGAGGAUGAUCCGCCACAGUGGGACUGAGACACGGCCCAGACUCCUACGGGAGGCAGCAGUGGGGAAUAUUGGACAAUGGGGGAAACCCUGAUCCAGCCAUGCCGCGUGUGUGAAGAAGGCCUUAUGGUUGUAAAGCACUUGAAGCGAGGAGGAGGCUACUGAGACUAAUACUCUUGGAUAGUGGACGUUACUCGCAGAAUAAGCACCGGCUAACUCUGUGCCAGCAGCCGCCGUAA